AGCAGCCGCGGUAAUUCCAGCUCCAAUAGCGUAUAUUAAAGUUGUUGCAGUUAAAAAGCUCGUAGUUGAAUUUCGGGAUCAGUACUCCGGUCGUGCCUUCGGUAUGCACUGGUGUCACUGGUUCCUCCCUUCUGAAGAACCAUCAUGCCAUUCAGUUGGUGUGGCGGGGAAUCAGGACUGUUACUUUGAAAAAAUUAGAGUGUUUAAAGCAGGCUCGCGCUUGAAUACAUUAGCAUGGAAUAAUGAAAUAGGACGUUUGACCCUAUUUUGUUGGUUUCUAGGAUCGACGUAAUGAUUAAUAGGGAUAGUUGGGGGCAUUAGUAUUCAAUUGUCAGAGGUGAAAUUCUUGGAUUUAUUGAAGACUAACUACUGCGAAAGCAUUUGCCAAGGAUGUUUUCAUUAAUCAAGAACGAAAGUUAGGGGAUCGAAGACGAUCAGAUACCGUCGUAGUCUUAACCAUAAACUAUGCCGACUAGGGAUCGGAUGAUGUUAAUUUUUGAAUGACUCA
rnacentral:rRNA from 1 species